UACGGAGGGAGCUAGCGUUGUUCGGAAUUACUGGGCGUAAAGCGCGCGUAGGCGGCUUUGUAAGUUAGAGGUGAAAGCCCGGGGCUCAACCCCGGAAUUGCCUUUAAGACUGCAUCGCUUGAAUCCGGGAGAGGUGAGUGGAAUUCCGAGUGUAGAGGUGAAAUUCGUAGAUAUUCGGAAGAACACCAGUGGCGAAGGCGGCUCACUGGCCCGGUACUGACGCUGAGGCGCGAAAGCGUGGGGGAGCAAACAGG
rnacentral:rRNA from 1 species